UACGUAGGUGGCAAGCGUUGUCCGGAUUUACUGGGCGUAAAGAGCGCGCAGGCGGUCGUUCAAGUCGCGUGUGAAAGCCCCCGGCUCAACUGGGGAGGGUCACGCGAUACUGAUCGACUCGAAGGCAGGAGAGGGUAGUGGAAUUCCCGGUGUAGUGGUGAAAUGCGUAGAUAUUGGGAGGAACACCAGUGGCGAAGGCGGCUCACUGGACUGGUACUGACGCUGAGGCGCGAAAGCGUGGGGAGCAAACGGG
rnacentral:rRNA from 1 species